CACUGAUCAAUUGUGUAUACCUAAAAGAGACUCUUCAUGGCCAGGGUGGUAGUUUCAAGCCCAGUCUUGGGUGGAAGAGUCCUGCAUUGCAGGGGGGCGGGGGGUUGGACUAGAUGACUUUGGGGGUCCCUUCCAAUUCUUGGAUUCUAUGAAACACUUCAGGAUCCCGUUCAGGUUGCCCGCACAGGUAUGGGAACCCAUGGCCACUCCUUCCCCAACGUGGGACGAGGAGCUCGUCUUCCUAGAGAGACAGGAAGUUUCAGAGGAGGCGGGAGGGGCUAUUAUCUGGGGGCGGGGGGGGCGUUGGUCUCUGCAGCCACACGCGGAGGAGAGAGUUUGGGAAGGAGGCGAGGUGGCUGCAGAGGGAAGAAUUCAGAAAGGUUCCAUUAUAGUCCAAAGGCUAUUCAUCAGGAAAUAAGGAUUUGUUUUAAGUUUUUCAUGUGUGCUAUAACUCAGUCUAAGGGACCACUUGAGAGCUACUCCCUUCGUUGAAGUGCAGCCCAGUUUCUGCCUCCUUAUCCUCCAU
ensembl:lncRNA